rnacentral:rRNA from 1 species
UUCUGGUUGAUCCUGCCGGAGGCUACCGCUAUUGGAGUUCGAUUAAGCCAUGCGAGUCGCGAGACUUAGAAUCUCGGCGUACCGCUCAGUAACACGUGGGUAACCUGCCCUAUGCUAGGGGAUAACCUCGGGAAACUGAGAAUAAUACCCUAUAGUUCACCACGCCUGGAACGGUGGGUGGAUGAAAGCUCCGGCGGCAUAGGAUAGGCCUGCGGCGUAUCAGGUUGUAGGGGGUGUAAUGUACCCUCUAGCCAUCUACGCGUACGGGUGUUGGGAGACAUCGCCCGGAGAUGGAUUCUGAGACACGAAUCCAGACCCUACGGGGUGCAGCAGGCGCGAAAACUUGGCAAUGCGAGAAAUCGUGACCAGGGAACUCCAAGUGCAUCGGGUAAGACCGAUGCUUUUCUUGACUCUUCAAAGGUCUUGGAAUAAGGGGUGGGUAAGGACGGUGCCAGCCGCCGCGGUAAUACCGGCGCCUCAAGUGGUAGUCGCUUUUAUUGGGCCUAAAACGUCCGUAGCCGGUUUGGUACAUUCGUGGGUGAAUCAAGGCGCUCAACGUCUUGAAUUCUGCGAGCACGGCCAGACUUGGGACCGGGUGAGGUGUGGGGUACU